rnacentral:rRNA from 1 species
UCGGGUAGUAAAGCUCUUUGGUCAGGGAUGGAAAACUUUCGUGCUAAUACUACGGAAGGAUGACAGUACAUGACGAAUAUGCAUCGGCUAACUACGUGCCAGCAGCGCAGGUAAUACGUAGUGUUGCGAGCGUUAGUCGGCAAUUACUGGGCGUAAAGCGUGCGCAGGUGGUUUUGUAAGCGUGAUGUGAAAUCGCCGGGCUCAACAUGGGCACUGCAUUGAGGACUGCAAGACUAGAGUGUGGCAGAAGGGGGUGGAAUUCCACGUGUAGCAGUGAAAUGUGUAGAGAUGUGGAGGAACACAGAUGGCGAAGGCAGCCCCCUGGGCUAACACUGUCACUCAUGCACGAAAGCGUGGGGAGCAAACACGAUUAGAUACGAUGGUAGUACACGCCCUAAACGAUGUCUACUAGUUGUUGGGAAGGGAGACCUUCUUAGUAACGCAGCUAACGCGUGAAGUAGACCGCCUGGGGAGUACGGUCGCAAGAUUAAAACUCAAAGGAAUUGACGGGGGCCCGCACAAGCGGUGGAUGAUGUGGAUUAAUUAGAUGCAACGCGAAAAACCUUACCUACCCUUGACAUGCUAGGAAUCCUGCAGAGAUGUGGGAGUGCUCGAAAGAGAACCUGGACACAGGUGCUGCAUGGCUGUCGUCAGCUCGUGUCGUGAGAUGUUGGGUUAAGUCCCGCAACGAGCGCAACCCUUGCCACUAGUUGCCACCAUUAAGUUGGGCACUUUAGUGGGACUGCCGGUGACAAACCGGAGGAAGGUGGGGAUGACGUCAAGUCCUCAUGGCCCUUAUGGGUAGGGCUUCACACGUCAUACAAUGGUCGGUACAGAGGGUAGCCAACCCGCGAGGGGGAGCCAAUCUCAUAAAGCCGAUCGUAGUCCGGAUUGCAGGCUGCAACUCGCCUGCAUGAAGUCGGAAUCGCUAGUAAUCGCGGAUCAGCAUGUCGCGGUGAAUACGUUCCCGGGCCUUGUACACACCGCCCGUCACACCAUGGGAGUGGGGGAUACCAGAAGUAGGUAGCUUAACCUUCGGGAAGGCGCUUACCACGGUAUGCUUCAUGAAGGGGGUGAAGUCGUAACAAGGUAACC